ACCUGUAGAGUCCACCAGAACAACACCCACCAGACAAGAGAGGCUCACAUACAUGUUCCAGAUGAUUUCUUCUUGUCCUUGUCCAGUUCUGCUGUUCCCUUCAUCACUGGUGUGGCUGUUAGCUUAGCUGUUAGCAUCAUGGUUAUUUUAGCAUAUGUCUUCUUUGUGUGGAGACAAAAUAGAACCAAAACCAAGAACAGAUCCAGAGAUGAAGCUGAAAGAGGAGAAAAGCUCCUGACAGAGGAAACAGAGAAGAUGAAGGUUUUGGGAGGAAGAAAGAAUAAAAUGAAAGAUGUAAGAGCCAAUAGUGAAAGAUUAAAUGUUCAGAUUGAUGAGUUUGAAGAAAGUUUGAUCAGUAAACCUGCUGACUGAUCAUCAUCCA